CAAUUUUCUUUCAUACCUUAUACAUAACAUUUGAGUAUGCAUCAAAGGAUUUAUUAUAAUAUCUUCUUUAUGUAUGUCUCAUUUAUCAAAUAGCCUCUUACAUUUUCUCUAUAAUACAAGCAGUAAAAAAUUAUAUUAAACCUAAAACAACCUUAACAUCUAACCAAGAUAAACAAAAGUGUAUCCAAUUUAUAAAAUUCUAUGGUAGAUUGAAAUAAGUAACAAACUAUAAAUUUUUAGAUAAAUGCAUUUGAAUAUGGUAAUACAAUCUCUUCUUAAAAUAUACCUAGAGACAAUAAUGGUUCUUUUCCUAGAAUAUACCCAAGAACCACCCAGAGUUAUUAAUAGAGAACCCUAUCACCGCAAUCUCGGAUUUUCGGCCGGAGUGGCCAUCCUGUGCGACAUAUCCAAUGUGAGGAUCCCAAUUUACGAUCAUUGACGAAAAAGACGUUGUAUCUUGGAGCGGGUCGUGGGUCACUACCAGCGUGGAGCGGUUUGGUUUUUUUUUUUUAACUUUUUCAUCAGAUGUCAAAGAACUUAUAAAUCAAAGAAGAAUAGAAGAAGAUAAAGUUGUGUUGGAUUUGACGAAGCAAGAAAAUCAAAGAAGAUGAAGUUGUGGAGGCAGAGAGAAAGAUUUUUAAUUAAUCAACUAAAUGAGAGAAUAUAUGGUUGAAAAGUCUAAAGGGUGAUAAAGUGGAUUGAAAAGGGCAAUUUACAGGUUAAUGUUCCCCAUAUACUUC
rnacentral:lncRNA from 1 species